rnacentral:rRNA from 1 species
AUUGAACGCUGGCGGCAGGCCUAACACAUGCAAGUCGAGCGGAUGAGGGGAGCUUGCUCCUGGAUUCAGCGGCGGACGGGUGAGUAAUGCCUAGGAAUCUGCCUGGUAGUGGGGGAUAACGUCCGGAAACGGGCGCUAAUACCGCAUACGUCCUGAGGGAGAAAGUGGGGGAUCUUCGGACCUCACGCUAUCAGAUGAGCCUAGGUCGGAUUAGCUAGUUGGUGGGGUAAAGGCCUACCAAGGCGACGAUCCGUAACUGGUCUGAGAGGAUGAUCAGUCACACUGGAACUGAGACACGGUCCAGACUCCUACGGGAGGCAGCAGUGGGGAAUAUUGGACAAUGGGCGAAAGCCUGAUCCAGUCAUGCCGCGUGUGUGAAGAAGGUCUUCGGAUUGUAAAGCACUUUAAGUUGGGAGGAAGGGCAGUAAGUUAAUACCUUGCUGUUUUGACGUUACCAACAGAAUAAGCACCGGCUAACUUCGUG